rnacentral:rRNA from 1 species
UACGUAGGGUGCAAGCGUUGUCCGGAAUCAUUGGGCGUAAAGCGCGUGUAGGCGGUCUCGCAAGUCGGGUGUGAAAGCCCAGGGCUCAACCCUGGAAGUGCAUUCGAUACUGCGAGGCUAGAGUCCCGGAGAGGAUGGUGGAACUCUCGGUGUAGAGGUGAAAUUCGUAGAUAUCGAGAAGAACACCGGUGGCGAAGGCGGCCAUCCUGGACGGAUCGAGACGUGGAACGU